UGAGGUUGUUUGCUAAGUGAGCCAUCUCCUUCCUCUUUCUCCCUUGGAAGAAUUAGAGAGUAAGAAGGAUCAGUCUGAGGCUCCUCCGUGUGAUGGACUGAGGAGCCUUAUUUAUUCCCUGUGGAUAGUGAGUGGCCUGCCACUGGAGAGGCCACAGGCCGGAGUGACAGAGCUGACUCAGGGUAGGGAGAAAAUGGCCUGGAUCACUGACAGAGGAUGGGUGAAACUGUUGCCUAAUCCUGGGUGAGAGACAUUUUCUUUGCCAGUUGUCCAAAUAACGGGAAAUUCCUGCAUUGUUUGCUGCAGUUUCACAAACUUAAUGGAUCUAUGCUGACUUUUAAAAGCCAUCUGUUACUAGGGGCAAAAAGAAAUAAAAGAGGAAAAUACUUUUAGACACUCUAAUACAGGUGAAAGAAAAAAUCUUCCUGGAGAAAUAAACAAAAAAAGAAAGAAAAGAAGAGAAAUGAACAACGGUAAGAAAAACGUCCAUGCUCGUCUUCAUAAAUCUGGAUCCUAGUACUCAUACUGCAGGUUACCAGGUUCCAAGUGGAAUCAAGACUGGGAGGACAGGGCCGGGGAUUUAGCUCAGUGGUUUUACCACCUGCCUCACAAGUGCAAGGUCCUGAGUUUGAUCUCUGGUUAAAAAAAAAAAAAAAGACCGGGAGGACACAAAGAACAAGGUACAACCUAAUCCAUAGAACAGGGGCCCAUUGUCACACCAAGUAGUUUCUGCUUCCAGGUUUAACCCCCCAUUCUUCCCUUUUCCUCCUUUCUUCCUUUGCCCCAGUACUGUAGCUUGAGCUGCUACUGUCUGAAUACCCAAGCUACCUCUCCCCUUUG
rnacentral:lncRNA from 1 species